ACGAGAAAAAGGCGUUCGCGCCGCUCUCUCAAACCUUUGCGUACCCAAUCUUGUCUCUUGCGGGGGGUCCGCCCCCCGCGAGGAACCAAAACAUUUGUUUGAUGUUGUCAGAAUCUUACAAACAAAAAAAA
rnacentral:misc_RNA from 1 species